GUAUUGCUCUCUAAUAUGCUCAACAUGCAACGGGUUGUGUGAAAACGUCGAGCCCCCUGAGGACAGCGUUGAGAUAGAUAAAGACAUGGCUGAAGAAAGAGACCAAGGACUAUCUGAAGAAGAACGCUCACACGAUUUGGAAGCUCAAUUUCCAAUACUGUUUAUGGAAGAACCCGAUCCUCUGCCAGGAGUUUUUGCCAUCGGGGAGCCUCAGUCAGGACCUUCCAUCAUCACAGAGCCUCAACCAGGACCUUCUAAGGGAAAACGGCUCAAAUAAUAUGAUAAUGUAAUAAAGUGAUGAAAUUCAUGUUAUUUUAAAAUAAAUUAUUUUUACAUAUA